rnacentral:rRNA from 1 species
GGACUGAGACACGGCCCAGACUCCUACGGGAGGCAGCAGUGGGGAAUAUUGGACAAUGGGGGCAACCCUGAUCCAGCAAUGCCGCGUGUGUGAAGAAGGCCUUCGGGUUGUAAAGCACUUUUAUCCGGAACGAAACGCGCCAGGUGAAUAGCCUGGUGAACUGACGGUACCGGAGGAAUAAGCACCGGCUAACUUCGUGCCAGCAGCCGCGGUAAUACGAAGGGUGCAAGCGUUACUCGGAAUUACUGGGCGUAAAGCGUGCGUAGGUGGUUUGUUAAGUCUGCUGUGAAAGCCCCGGGCUCAACCUGGGAAUGGCAGUGGAUACUGGCAAGCUAGAGUGCGGUAGAGGGGUGUGGAAUUCCCGGUGUAGCGGUGAAAUGCGUAGAGAUCGGGAGGAACACCAGUGGCGAAGGCGGCACCCUGGACCAGCACUGACACUGAGGCACGAAAGCGUGGGGAGCAAACAGGAUUAGAUACCCUGGUAGUCCACGCCCUAAACGAUGCGAACUGGACGUUGGGAGCAACUUGGCUCUCAGUGUCGAAGCUAACGCGUUAAGUCGCCGCCUGGGGAGUACGGUCGCAAGACUGAAACUCAAAGGAAUUGACGGGGGCCCGCACAAGCGGUGGA